rnacentral:rRNA from 1 species
UACGUAGGGUGCAAGCGUUGUCCGGAUUUAUUGGGUUUAAAGGGUGCGUAGGCGGCCUGUUAAGUCAGGGGUGAAAGACGGUAGCUCAACUAUCGCAGUGCCCUUGAUACUGACGGGCUUGAGUACAGACGAGGUUGGCGGAAUGGACUGAGUAGCGGUGAAAUGCAUAGAUACAGUCCAGAACCCCGAUUGCGAAGGCAGCUGACUAGGCUGUUACUGACGCUGAGGCACGAAAGCGUGGGGAGCGAACAGG